rnacentral:lncRNA from 1 species
ACAUGAAGCAGAGGACACGGUGGGUUGGCAGAUGUGGGCUGGGUCCUGGAAGCUCACAUGGACCUGGAAGUUUAUUCCAUCCUGAGUUCUCGUCGUGGCUCUGUGUGUUCUGCUUCUCUGGGAAUCUCGGGCAGUUGGAGUCUUUCUGUACACUUCUCAGUGCCUGGCUGUGUGGGGUAGAAGCAAGUAUUUGUGAAACUCGGGCCAAGGUAAGAGAUGGAUUUCCUUCCUGGUCAUGUAGGAAUCAGACAUUUUCACAGAAGAGAGUUGCUCUGAGACCCCAAAUACCUUAUGUUUACUUCCAUGGAGACACUCAUGUGUAUUGGAGAUAACAGUGUGUAUUGUAUGAAGCGGCAACAUUUUAUCCAGCAAUCCCAAACCUGAUCAUAUUUUUUCAUUCCUAAUCCCUUAAACGGGCCCCAGAACCUCAGGAGAAAGCCCAGAUCCCUGUAAGAUUUGCUUCCUCUGCAAUUCUCUUGCCUCAUGUCUCCCCAGUCCCCCUAAAGUUGCCUCCAUCCUCUCCCACGAAAAUCCUGGACAUCGCUCAGAAUCAGCCCUUCUGGGUCUUGCUUUUCUGCUAACGCAUGGGCUGUUUCUCUGUUCCAUAAGAAAGCCCUCAUGGAACAUGGGCGUUCCAUGGGGAAAAGGGAGCCAGGCUGGUGGAAUGAAGGGAAAGCAAAAAGAGAAAGGAAGUGAGCAACAAGUCCACCUUUCUGCAUGGUCCAGGACACACAGCCCUCCUGUGAAAGUAACUCACAAUUUUCCUGUGCCCAACCCUCACCAGACACCUGCAAGUCAG